CCGGAGAAUGUUAUCACGGGAGACACACGGCGGGUGCUAACGUCCGUCGUGAAGAGGGAAACAACCCAGACCGCCAGCUAAGGUCCCAAAGUCAUGGUUAAGUGGGAAACGAUGUGGGAAGGCCCAGACAGCCAGGAUGUUGGCUUAGAAGCAGCCAUCAUUUAAAGAAAGCGUAAUAGCUCACUGGUCGAGUCGGCCUGCGCGGAAGAUGUAACGGGGCUAAACCAUGCACCGAAGCUGCGGCAGCGACACUGUGUGUUGUUGGGUAGGGGAGCGUUCUGUAAGCCUGUGAAGGUGGCCUGUGAGGGUUGCUGGAGGUAUCAGAAGUGCGAAUGCUGACAUAAGUAACGAUAAAGCGGGUGAAAAGCCCGCUCGCCGGAAGACCAAGGGUUCCUGUCCAACGUUAAUCGGGGCAGGGUGAGUCGACCCCUAAGGCGAGGCCGAAAGGCGUAGUCGAUGGGAAACGGGUUAAUAUUCCCGUACUUGGUGUUACUGCGAAGGGGGGACGG
rnacentral:rRNA from 1 species